rnacentral:lncRNA from 1 species
GAACAACUAACCUCCUGCGCGUCUCCUCAAUACAACUCUACAACACAGACCCGGAGACCAAAAGUCUUCAGUGUUUGCAAGUGUAAAAUAGGAAUGUGGAACUUACAGGUGCUUUUUGUCCUGCAUGCACAAAAGCCUGGUUUGGGGUUCACAGCUAUGGCUUUCCUCGGUGGACCGCAUCCAUAGGCUUGGGAAGAGCCUACCUGUCCACUCACUUAGACUCCACGGAGGCACUUGCCAGCUGUGGACUCUUUAAGGCUGUUAUGCACAUCACCUGCACCUGCGUCGUGGCCCCUCCACUCAUCCCUGAUCAUGGUCUAUGAGUCUUUCCUCUGCCACCAUCACAUCGCCAGCUGAUAGCCCUUUCAGUACAUUUGGAGAGAUUACAACAACAACAACAACAACAAAACCGAGAGAGAAAUUGUGUGUAUAAAGGAAAGUAGCAAAGACUAAUCGAUCUAACUCCCCUAUUUCUGCACCUCCAAGUCUUCACCAUCAUAAAGGCCCAAUCUAAAGGUACUGUCCAAUUCCAGGAGACAU